GACGAACGCUGGCGGCGUGCUUAACACAUGCAAGUCGAACGAAGAGCGAUGGAAGCUUGCUUCUAUCAAUCUUAGUGGCGAACGGGUGAGUAACGCGUAAUCAACCUGCCCUUCAGAGGGGGACAACAGUUGGAAACGACUGCUAAUACCGCAUACGAUCUAACCUCGGCAUCGAGGACAGAUGAAAGGUGGACUCUAUGUAUAAGCUAUCACUGAAGGAGGGGAUUGGGUCUGAUUAGCUAGUUGGAGGGGUAAGGGCCCACCAAGGCGAUGAUCAGUAGCCGGUCUGAGAGGAAGAACGGCCACAGUGGGACUGAGACACGGCCCAGACUCCUACGGGAGGCAGCAGUGGGGGAUCUUCCGCAAUGGACGAAAGUCUGACGGAGCAACGCCGCGUGAGUGAUGACGGCCUUCGGGUUGGAAAGCUCUGUUAAUCGGGACGAAAGGCCUUCUUGCGAAUAGGGAGAAGGAUUGACGGUACCGGAAUAGAAAGCCACGGCUAACUACGUG
rnacentral:rRNA from 1 species